GACGAACGCUGGCGGCGUGCUUAACACAUGCAAGUCGAACGGAAAGGCCCUGCUUUUGUGGGGUGCUCGAGUGGCGAACGGGUGAGUAACACGUGAGUAACCUGCCCUUGACUUUGGGAUAACUUCAGGAAACUGGGGCUAAUACCGGAUAGGAGCUCCUGCUGCAUGGUGGGGGUUGGAAAGUUUCGGCGGUUGGGGAUGGACUCGCGGCUUAUCAGCUUGUUGGUGGGGUAGUGGCUUACCAAGGCUUUGACGGGUAGCCGGCCUGAGAGGGUGACCGGCCACAUUGGGACUGAGAUACGGCCCAGACUCCUACGGGAGGCAGCAGUGGGGAAUAUUGCACGAUGGGCGGAAGCCUGAUGCAGCAACGCCGCGUGCGGGAUGACGGCCGUCGGGUUGUAAACCGCUUUCGCCUGUGACGAAGCGUGAGUGACGGUAAUGGGUAAAGAAGCACCGGCUAACUACGUG
rnacentral:rRNA from 1 species